rnacentral:rRNA from 1 species
GACGAACGCUGGCGGCGUGCUUAACACAUGCAAGUCGAACGGAAAGGCCCUGCUUUUGUGGGGUGCUCGAGUGGCGAACGGGUGAGUAACACGUGAGUAACCUGCCCUUUACUUUUGGAUAACUUCAGGAAACUGGGGCUAAUACCGGAUAGGAGCUCCUGCUUCAUGGUGGGGGUUGGAAAGUUUCGGCGGUUGGGGAUGGACUCGCGGCUUAUCAGCUUGUUGGUGGGGUAGUGGCUUACCAAGGCUUUGACGGGUAGCCGGCCUGAGAGGGUGACCGGCCACAUUGGGACUGAGAUACGGCCCAGACUCCUACGGGAGGCAGCAGUGGGGAAUAUUGCACAAUGGGCGGAAGCCUGAUGCAGCAACGCCGCGUGCGGGAUGACGGCCUUCGGGUUGUAAACCGCUUUCGCCUGUGACGAAGCGUGAGUGACGGUAAUGGGUAAAGAAGCACCGGCUAACUACGUG